rnacentral:rRNA from 1 species
UCCAUAAUCUACAGGCCAACAUAAUUAUCUUAGAAUUGAUCCGGUAAUUACCGAAUCAUGGAGGUAGAGCACUGUUUGGACUAGGGGCCCUUCUCGGGUUACCGAAUUCAGAUAAACUCCGAAUGCCAUUGAUUUAGAUCCGGGAGUCAGACUGCGAGUGAUAAGAUCCGUAGUCAAAAGGGAAACAGCCCAGACCACCAGCUAAGGUCCCAAAGUAUCUGUUAAGUGGAAAAGGAUGUGGGGUUGCACAGACAACUAGGAUGUUGGCCCAGAAGCAGCCAUCAUUUAAAGAGUGCGUAAUAGCUCACUAGUCGAGUGACCCUGCGCCGAAAAUUUACCGGGGCUAAACAGAUCACCGAAGCUGUGGAUGGAACCCAAUGGGUUCCGUGGUAGGAGAGCGUUCUAAGGGCAUCGAAGCCAGAUCGUGAGGACUGGUGGAACGCUUAGAAGUGAGAAUGCCGGUAUGAGUAGCGCAAGACGGGUGAGAAUCCCGUCCACCGAAUAACUAAGGUUUCCUGGGGAAGGCUCGUCCUCCCAGGGUUAGUCGGGACCUAAGCUGAGGCCGAUAGGCGUAGGCGAUGGACAACAGGUUGAUAUUCCUGUACCAGUUGCUUUUGUUUGAGCGAUGGAGGGACGCAGGAGGCUAAGGAAUGCACACGAUCGGAAAUGUGUGUCCAAGCAGCAAGUCUGAGAACGAGUGAAAUGCUUUUUCUCUCAAGGACAAGCUGUGAUGGGGAGCGAAAUUUAGUAGCGAAGUUCCUGAUGUCACACUGCCAAGAAAAGCUUCUAGUGAGAAAGUAACUGCCCGUACCGCAAACCGACACAGGUAGUUGAGGAGAGAAUCCUAAGGUGUGCGAGAGAACUCUCGUUAAGGAACUCGGCAAAAUGACCCCGUAACUUCGGGAGAAGGGGUGCUGACCGCAAGGUCAGCCGCAGUGAAUAGGCCCAAGCGACUGUUUAUCAAAAACACAGGUCUCUGCAGAAUCGAAAGAUGACGUAUAGGGGCUGACGCCUGCCCGGUGCUGGAAGGUUAAGAGGAGAGGUUAGCGCAAGCGAAGCUUUGAAUUGAAGCCCCAGUAAACGGCGGCCGUAACGAUAACGGUCCUAAGGUAGCGAAAUUCCUUGUCGGGUAAGUUCCGACCCGCACGAAAGGCGUAACGAUUUGGGCACUGUCUCAACGAGAGACUCGGUGAAAUUAUAGUACCAGUGAAGAUGCUGGUUACCCGCGACAGGACGGAAAGACCCCAUGGAGCUUUACUGCAGUUCAAAAAGAA